rnacentral:lncRNA from 1 species
UACACCACAGCCAUAGCAAUACUGGAUCUGAGCCGCGUCUGCGACCUACAGCACAGCUCAUGGCAACGCUGGAUCCUUAACUGACCCGAUCUCUAACCCACUGAGCAAGGCCAGGGAUCAAGCCUGCGUUCUCGUGGAUGCUAGUCAGAUUUGUUUCCACUGAGUCACAAUGGGAACUCCAUGGGCCAGGGAUUGAAAACCAAGCCAUAGCAGUGACAACACAGGAUCCAGAACCCACUGAGCCACUAGGGAACUCGGAAUGUUUUUUGCUUUUUUUUUUUAAAGAUAUAUUUGUUACCAUGCACAUUAAAAUAUUUAUCAGUGACUCAGUGGAAAUCUAGGAUUUUAGGAUUUGUUUUAAAAUAUUCUACAGUAACAAAAGUGAGAUUUAAAAAAACCAAAAUUGAUAAAAUGUCGUUGUUGAAGCUGGGUUGUUAUUAGGUAGGAGUUUGUUACACUGGUUGCUGCGACUGAAUGUGUCUCCCAAGAUUUCUAUGUCAGAAACCCUAAUCCCAAUGGGAUGGUAUUCAGAAACUAGGGGCCAUCAUACUGGGAUAAAAAAAUGAUUUUUAACAAACCCGACUAGGAUCCAUGAGGAUGUGGGUCCGAUCCCUGGCCUCGCUCAGUGGGUUAAGGAUCCGGCAUUGCUGUGAGCUGUGGUAAGCCUACUUCUUUGCACUAAUUUGAAGCUAAGAGGGAGCUUCCCCUACCGCACAUACUCUAUUGCUCCUACACCUGAACCCACAAACCCCUUCUCCUUUGCAAAAUGGCCUAUAAAUAUUUAUCAAGCACUUACGGGCUGGCCACUGUGCUAGGCAGUUACAUUUUAAGCGGCUGAUCACGACUACCUAACCGUUUCCAUUUCACAGAUGGGGAAGCAAACACUUGCCUAAAAGAGGUGGUAAGAUCAACAUUCAAAUCUGACAGCUUGACACCAGCGGCCCCCACCCACAAAACCACUCAGAGGUUCACGCCGUAGGGUACGGGUGCCUUAAAAAAGAAAAAUACCCCCAAACUAGAUUCUCUGUAGAACUAGGAGAUGCUAGACAUGGCAAGGUUGGGCCCAUGGAAACUGUCCAGGUUCCUGGCUCUGCACAAGACUGGAACAGAACCUGCCCUGGGCGCCCUCAUCGGCUUUGGUGUAGACACUAGGAUUCCUUCCCCACGGUCAAGGUGCACAAACUCGACCAUCCCAGACUCUUCCCACUUCAAGGCAGAAGGCUGAAGAGAAUGACUGUGGUAGAGACGGCUAACUGCCGAGGCAGUAUCCAUUCCUUGUGCUUCUUAGACACAGAACCCCAAUGGUCUUUGGGGCGGCAAAGCACUCAACGAACCCUCCCCCGAAUCCCCAGCCCUACUUGAGCUGACCGUAGUGAUGUAGCCACGUUCCAGCUGCUAAGACUUACGAGGUUGGGUGGGGCUCCCCAAGGAGCUCCUUGAAGAGGGCUGGUUGAGCAGGGAGCUGUGCUCCUUUGGCCUCCCCCUACUCCUUCCUGCCUGGAAUACGGGCCCAGUGGUUGGUGUUCGAACGGCCAUCAUGGACCAUGAGUGACCUGGAGAACGGAAGCCUCCGUCAGGACAGUAACCCAGAAAGAACCUGGGUCCCUGAGCCACACCGGCCUUGGACUGACAACUUUCCGGUUUCACUUGAGAAGUAAGCCGUCUUGUUUAAGUCAGUUACUCUCUGUCGUGUUACAUGCAACCAAACCUAAGACCAACCCACUGAACUUCAGGACUAUUUCUCAUGCUAAAGGAGGCAUUCAAAGGAAAAGGCAAUUUGUUACGAAGGGAAAACUCAUCUACCAUUCCAAGACUUGGGAAGGCCAAAUAUCCAAUUAAGAGCUGAUGUCUCUGCUGGAGACCGGCUGGCUUGAACUGAGUGUUGAAGCUCUGAGUUCCAUCCCCACGUUGCCGCCAUUUAGCCAGCAAUGAAGCAGGAGGCAAUGGUAGCUCUCAGGCUGCAGGGGAGCAAUUAGGGAAGAGCCCACUUCUCUUCUUUCACUUCCCCGCCUCUAUGGGCAGUUUUCCCCGUAUGUUGAACCAGAGCAAUGGUUGAUUCUCUAGCUGCAUCUCCACGGAUGAGUCCACGAAAGGAAACUCUUCUCUCACAGGCUCCAGGAUUCCAGUCUAGAACCGACACUUCCAAAAGCUAUGAGGUCCACCAUGCUCAGGGCGUCCAGCAUCUGCAAAAUGACAGCACACAUCUGGCCGCUUUAAGGGUCCCAGGCACGCCACGGUCCCAGCAGGCACUGCAGCUUCCUCAGGAGCGGCCUGCGUCGAAGCCAUCCUCCAGAGCUGGCCUUCUGCUUCGGAAACACCCAUCCACGAUGAGGCCAACUCCCACUUGGAAUGUGCCCUCGGCUGCACGGUCCUCUCUUUAGCACGGGCAUGCCUAUUGCUUUCAAUGGUGUUCUCCUUCCCACACCGGCAGCACGGGAGAACUAGGCUCACUUCAGUCGUGCUUCUAUGUAAUCAGAAUCAUGCCGACUUUUUCCUUGUGUGAAUAAACGCAAAGAGAGCAUUUUGUAUAAAAUGAACUUCGAUGUCUUCGCCUGAUCAAUUUUAAAGUGUAUAAAGUGACACACACGACAUGUGUGUAAUAUGUGUGUGUACAUAUACCAAGAAAAUGGUUGCCCUAAAAGAAAACAAAGCCUCAAGUGCCAUUAUCCUGAAAUUAAAAGGAAAAAAAAAAACCCCACUAAGAACCAACAGUUACAGUUCCUUGACAUAAAUGCAUAAACUCACUUUCUGUAGCUAUUUCCCCACCCAGGGCAGCACCGUCUCCCAUGCCACCCGCCUUCUAUCAAGUGGCCUUGCCACUCAUUCCAUCAAGGGAGAUGGGGGGCAACCACGUUCCCAAUGCUGUGAAUCGGACUGGGCUUGUGACUAACUUGGCAGAAUAAGGAGUCACAGAAAUGACCACUAUGGGACUGCUGAGUUUAGGUCAGAAAAGGUAACGAAGCUUCUGCCUGGUUCUCUAGGGGGGAAGCCAAUUGCCAAGUAAGUCCACCUACCUUGAAGCUGCCCUG